rnacentral:rRNA from 1 species
GAUGAACGCUGACAGAAUGCUUAACACAUGCAAGUCAACUUGAACUUCGGUUUGGGUGGCGGACGGGUGAGUAACGCGUAAAGAACUUGCCUCACAGAUAGGGACAACAUUUGGAAACGAAUGCUAAUACCUGAUAUUAUGAUUAUAUGGCAUCGUAUAAUUAUGAAAGCUAUAUGCGCUGUGAGAGAGCUUUGCGUCCCAUUAGCUAGUUGGAGAGGUAACGGCUCACCAAGGCGAUGAUGGGUAGCCGGCCUGAGAGGGUGAUCGGCCACAAGGGGACUGGGACACGGCCCGUACUCCUACGGGAGGCAGCAGUGGGGAAUAUUGGACAAUGGACCAAGAGUCUGAUCCAGCAAUUCUGUGUGCACGAUGAAGUUUUUCGGAAUGUAAAGUGCUUUCAGUUGGGAAGAAAAAAAUGACGGUACCAACAGAAGAAGUGACGGCUAAAUACGUG